UACGUAGGGUGCGAGCGUUGUCCGGAAUUAUUGGGCGUAAAGAGCUCGUAGGCGGUGUGUCACGUCGUUCGUGAAACCUGCAGCUUAACUGUGGCGUGCGGUCGAUACGGGCAUCACUGGAGUUCGGCAGGGAGACUGGAAUUCCUGGUGUGAGCGGUGAAAUGCGCAGAUAUCAGGAGGAACACCUGGUGGUGUAGACGGCUUACUGGACCAUAACUGACGCUGAGGCACGAAAGCGUGGGUAGCAAACAGG
rnacentral:rRNA from 1 species